UACGUAGGGGCAAGCGUUGUCCGGAAUCAUUGGGCGUAAAGCGCGUGUAGGCGGCUUGGUAAGUCCGCUCUGAAAGCCCGGGGCUCAACCCCGGGAGGCGGGUGGAUACUGUCAAGCUCGAGUCCGGAAGAGGCGAGUGGAAUUCCUGGUGUAGCGGUGAAAUGCGCAGAUAUCAGGAAGAACACCCGUGGCGAAGGCGGCUCUCGUGGAACGCAACUGACGCUGAGACGCGAAAGCGUGGGGAGCAAACAGG
rnacentral:rRNA from 1 species